rnacentral:rRNA from 1 species
ACUCCUACGGGAGGCAGCAGUAGGGAAUCUUCCACAAUGGGCGCAAGCCUGAUGGAGCAACACCGCGUGAGUGAAGAAGGGCUUCGGCUCGUAAAGCUCUGUUGUUAAAGAAGAACACGUAUGAGAGUAACUGUUCAUACGUUGACGGUAUUUAACCAGAAAGUCACGGCUAACUACGUGCCAGCAGCCGCGGUAAUACGUAGGUGGCAAGCGUUAUCCGGAUUUAUUGGGCGUAAAGAGAGUGCAGGCGGUUUUCCAAGUCUGAUGUGAAAGCCUUCGGCUUAACCGGAGAAGUGCAUCGGAAACUGGAUAACUUGAGUGCAGAAGAGGGUAGUGGAACUCCAUGUGUAGCGGUGGAAUGCGUAGAUAUAUGGAAGAACACCAGUGGCGAAGGCGGCUACCUGGUCUGCAACUGACGCUGAGACUCGAAAGCAUGGGUAGCGAACAGGAUUAGAUACCCUGGUAGGAUAGCG